UGGCACGGUACGAUUCCGUGGAGUGGUUUUCCGCUUAACGCUUAGUCCUUGUAUUAGUGAAGGUAAGUGAGGGGGCACCCAAAAUUCUGAAAGCUUUACAAUGCGUUGGGUACUACGAAAGUGUCCAAG
ncrna:unclassified sequences RAGATH-36 RNA